rnacentral:rRNA from 1 species
UGCGUAGGCGGUCUUGCAAGCCAGAGGUGAAAGGCUAUGGCUCAACCAUAGUGAGCCUUUGGAACUGCUGGACUUGAGUACAGGAGAGGAAAGUGGAAUUCCUAGUGUAGCGGUGAAAUGCGUAGAUAUUAGGAGGAACACCAGUGGCGAAGGCGACUUUCUGGACUGUUACUGACGCUGAGGCACGAAAGCGUGGGGAGCGAACA